rnacentral:lncRNA from 1 species
GCUUUCAGUUGGGAGCUCCGCUGUGGCACCUUGGUUCUCCUCCAAAUGGAUUCUCUUCUCCACGUGGUGCCUCACCCUCCAGGGCCUCUUUAUGUGGUCCUCCUCUCCAGGAGGAUAGCUUCAGAGCAUGGCAGGUGGGUUGGAAAAGAACCAGCUCAACGUGCAAGCGUUAACCAAGCCAGUGCUCGUGUAGAGCUCCUAGUGUCCUGGUAGCUAAAGAAAGUCGGUGAAUAAGAAUGAGCUUUUCCUCAAAGUAUGCGAUACCGGGCCAACACAAACAACAGAAGUAUAUUAGACACACACACUCAGAAAUUCUCUUUCUCUUUAUUUAUUUGACUGCACCAUCUGCCAAAACAUCAAAACAAACAAAACAUAUUUUUACCAUGUUGUGAUUGUAGCAUAUUUUACUUCAUUACAAAAGUACAGGCAAUUCAUUGUAUGUCAUGCAAGGCUGUUCAGAGCAUGGGGGCGGGGAGAGGUGUUUCAAGAAAUUAGGAAAACAAUUCCAUUUACAAUAUCAUCAGGAAGAGUAAAAUAUUUAGGAAUAAACUCAACUGAAAACUAUAAAAUAUUGCUGAAAGAAAUUAAAGAAGACACAAAUAAUUGAAAAGACCUUUCACAUUCAUGGAUUGGAAGGCUCAAUAUUGUUAAGAUGGUGAUACUACCAAAAGUGAUCUACAGAUUUAAUGCAAUCCCUAUUAAAACCCCAAUGCCAUUUUUUUGCAGAAAUAGAAAAAUCUAUCCUAAAAUUCACAUGGAAUCUCAAAGGACCUCAAAUAGCCAAAACAAACUUAAAAAAAGAAGAACAAAGUUGGAGGCAUCACACUUUCUGAUUUGAAAACUUCUUACAAAGCUACAAUAAUCAAAACAAUGUGGUCCUGGCAUAAAGACAGACAUAUAGACCAAUGAAAUAGAACAAAACCCCAGAAGUAAACCCUUAUGUACAUGGUCAAAUGAUUUUUGACAAGGGUGCCAGGUUCAUUCAAUGGUGAAAGGACAGUUUUUUCAACAAAUGUUGUUGGGAAAAGUGGACAUCUUUAUCUUACAUCAUAUACAAAAGUUAACAUAAAAUGGAUCAAAAACCUAAACAUAAGAGCUAAACCGUAAAACUCCUAGAAGAAAACAUAGUGGGAAAGCUUCAUAACUUUGGAUUUGGCAAUGAUUUCUUGGAUGUGACACCAAAAGCACAAGCAGCAAAACAAAAAUAGAUAAAUUGGAAUUCAUCAAAAGUUAAAACUUCUGGGCAUCAAAGGACACAAUCAAUAUAGUGAACAGGCAACCCAUGGAGUGGGCGAAAAUAUUUGCAAAUCAUAUAUUUAAUAAGGGAUUAAUAUCUAGAAUAUAUAAGGAACUCCUGCAACUCCACAACAAAAACAACAAAACCCCCAAUUUAAAAAUGGAUAAAGGACCUGAAUAGACAUUUCUCUAAGGAAGAUACACAAAUGGCCAGUGAGCACACGAAAAUGUGUUCAAUAUCACUAGUCAUUAGAACAAUGAAAAUCAAAAUCACAACAAGAUGCACCUCACACCCAUCAGGAUGGCUACUACCAAGAAAACGAGAGAAUGACAAGUUUUGGUGAAGACUCAGAAGUUGGAACCCUUGUGCACUGCUGUUGGGAAUGUAAAAUGGUGCAGUCAUUAUGGAAAACAUUAUGGUGGCUCCUCAAAAAAUUAAAAAUAGAGUUAUCACAUGACCUAGCAACCCCACUCCUGGGUAUCUACCCAAAAGAAUUGAAAGCAAGGUCUUAAAGAGAUAUUUGUACACCCACGUUCCCAGCAGCAUUAUUCACGAUAACCAAAAGGUGGCAGCAACCCAAGCGUCCCUCAGUGAAAGAAUGAAUAAACAAAAUGUGAAUAUACAUACAGUGGAAUAUCAUUCAGCCUUAAAAGGAACAGAAAUUCUGGCAUUUGCUACAACGUGGAUGAACCUGGAAGACAUCAUGCUGAGUGAAAUAAGCCAUUCACAGAAAGACAAACACCAUUCCUAUGAGGAAGGCUCAGAGAAAAUCCCAUUCACCAAGGCCGUAAUGUACCUGCAUCACCAGGAAGCUCCAUGGUGGCCCCCCUCUGCAGACAGUGGGAGAGGUUUCUACAGAGCUGGGCUCGCUGAACGCAAGAGGGAUGAUAGGACCCUGGAACAAGAGUGGCUAUGUGGUGACGCAACUCUCAGAAAUCAGGUGAAUGCAAUGAUCAUAAUCAGCAAAAAGCUCAGAGGGGCAAUCAAGGAAGGCUGGACCACAGAAUGUGAUGGAGAUGGAGACCACAUCCCCAGGGGCAAAAUACCUGUCAACAAGAGCACUACGCAACUUGUGCCAUUGGAAGAAAUCGAGGAUGGAUAUUCAGGAGGCCGGUGAUUAGCCUUGAGCUAACAUCUGCUGCCAAUCCUCCUUUUUUUUGCUGAGGAAGACUGGCCCUGAGGUAACAUCUGUGCCCAUCUUCCUCUACUUUGUGUGUGGG